AAAACUUGAAUACAAAAGAUUGUCUUAAGAAUAUAUAAAAAAACAUAAAUAGACUAAAUUACUAUUAAGCUCAAUUACAACCAAAAACCCAUUAUUAUAUUAUUAAAUCACCGUGUAUCUAACAUUCUUGGAGUGAUCAUGAACACAAAAAAAUAAAAACAUUUUGUCAAAUGAAUAUAGAUAACCUUUUUUGCACCAUUUCUAUCUUGGCAUCAAAGUCCUUAAGCUUGAAGACUCUCGAUCCAAUCAUGGCAUUAGUUGUCAUAAACCAAAAAAACAACCUACCUACAAUUGUCUCCGUCAAGUUGGACAGAGAUAACUAUAUAUCCACCGCGGAAGUUACUAGUUCUUCCAUUGAUUAGAGAUUGCAAAUUUGUUAGAUACAUGUUAGGAACAAAAGAAUGUUAUGAGAUAAAAAAUUGAAUAAAUGGCUAAGAUUACUAGCUAUAACAUGGUUAACAUAAAGAAACAAUCGGAGAGGAUUCAAAUCCUACAUUCAACACAUUCAACAUGGGACAUGUGUUUAACUAUGUUGCCCUCAGAGGCGGCCACAAUACAUGUGCGACGGCAUCGGGCCUCAAAAUUUUGAGGGCCUCAACUCAAAAUUUUGAGGUUCUAUAAUAUUACUUAUUUAUACCCAUAAAAUAUCAAAUGUAUAUUAAU
rnacentral:lncRNA from 1 species